UGCAACGUAGAGCUCAUGAUCACACACAGUGAGUUUGGCAGUCGGCAAACUUACCGAUUGUGAUCAUCAGCUCUUCGUUGCA